AAGAACCUUACUACCCUUGACAUGUCCGGAACUUGCCAGAGAUGGCUUGGUGCCCGAAAGGGAAUCGGAACACAGGUGCUGCAUGGCUGUCGUCAGCUCGUGUCGUGAGGAUCGUUGGGUUAAGUCCCGCAACGACGCGCAACCCUUUAUCAUUAGUUGCUACGCAAGGGCACUCUAAUGAGACUGCCGGUAGACAAACCGGAGGAAGGUGGGGAUGACGUCAAGUCCUCAUCGGCCCUUAUGGUAGGGCUUCACACGUCAUACAAUGGUCGGUACAGAGGGUUGCCAAGCCGCGAGGCGGAGCCAAUCCCACAAAGCCGAUCGUAGUCCGGAUUGUUCUCUGCAACUCGAGAGCAUGAAGUCGGAAUCGCUAGUAAUCGCAGGUCAGCAUACUGCGGUGAAUACGUUCCCGGGUCUU
rnacentral:rRNA from 1 species